rnacentral:lncRNA from 1 species
GGAUGGAGGUUGAUUGACACUCCCCAACCCCCCACCUCCGAUCUCCAAGCGGAGUUUGUCGGCAGCAACAGGCACGGUCUCCAGAAGAAGGUGUGUGCAACCAUACCUUUAAUCCCAGAUGACCUUGAACUCAGAGAUCUCCUUAUCUUAAUCUUCUGGAAUUCAUAGCCACUAUACCUCAAGAUCUCCAUGCCAAGAUCCAGGUCAGAAACUUGUAUCUCCCAGCCUCCAGAUUAGGAUCACAGCAUGGGGCCUGCUGGGACUCGUCUCCUGCUAUGCUUCAGCUCCUGCCCAAUCACUUACCUGUGCCAGGAGAAGCCUCUGGACAUGCCUGGGCAGCCUCUGGACAUGCACUGCUCCCAUUCCUCGCUGAGAGGGCAUCUCCCCGAGUGCCUCUCCAUCCCAGUAGACUCUCCAGAUGUGCCCAGUCCUCAACUGGUGUGGCCUCACCAGAGAGACUCAGACCAAACAGGCCUCCACAGCCUCUCUCUAGACACUUUCUGGGAAACCACAGUGGAAUACAAAAGGUCCUCAUUUGCCCUGAACCCUGGGAAGCCCUGUGGCAUUGGUUCAUGAGUGCUGUGGUUGGUUAUUUGGAACUUAAUUCUCUUGGUAUUUGCCACUUCCCAGUUGUCCCCUUUACUGUUCACAGUCCCCACCUAUAAUCCUCGGCUUCCUGGCACUUCCGGAGCCCAUAUUAACGUACCAAUUUUUUGUACCCCAUUUAGGGCACCAACUGUUCUGAUCUCUUGAAGAGCUCCUCAGGCAACCUUCUGUUUCUAGCAAGAUGAUACACCCAAGCCUUGAUGACAAGGCUUGGCUCUCAACCUCCUUGCUCCCCACCUCCUGUGAAAUACACAAAGAAAUUCAGUGAUCAUCGGGGAUGCUCUGGUCCAAACACUACCUGCCAGCCAGACGCAGGAGAUGGAUGGCUCAGCAGUAAUCGUGCUGCUUGAGCUUGGUGUCUAAUGGGGACAGUAGUGACAGGAAGUUCACAGGGACUGGAAGACAUGAGUUCUCUGAGGGAAAGGAAGGUGAAGCCUGGUGCUUAGGACCCUCAGGAGACCAUAGGAUGUGAGAAGGCUCAAGACACCCAGAGGUGGGGUCAGAAACAGGGCAAAGGAGACCAAGCAUGGGAGAGCUGCAGUGGACGUGUACAGACAGGAGAAGCAGGCCCUAAAGAAUCCCUGAGGCGGCAGAGAGGCUGGGCUGUGGAACUUUUUAAUUACUUUGCAUUAGGGGACUGUAGAGACCCAGAAGCCCACCCUUCCCCUCCCCUCAUCAGCUUAGCCCCAACAUAUGGUGGCUACCAAAGUAGUUAAAUCGGCUCUUGGUAGAAAAGGAAAGAGAUUCCUCCCAGGCUCUUCCCAGGGUCCACGGCCACACUCCAGGAGGGCUCAACUCCAGGGCAAGGCAGCUGGGACAGCAGGCAGCUGAAGGAGGACUAUUACUGCACCUUAGGGAAGAGUGCAGUGGCGAGUGGGGAGGACUCUGCUGGGACCCGGGGGUCAUGUGCAUUCCCAUUUAGUUGAGCUCUGCUUAAUCCGGGCCUAGGCUCACAGUAAUGGGGAACGAGGAGAGGCUCCCAUCAGAGACCAAGAAGAUGACAGACUCUCUGUAAAGGCUGUCAGAGGGGUCUGCAUGACCAACCACACCUGCUCCUGUUCCUUUGGGGCUCUUGUGACCUCCCUGUCUUCUUGUGAGAUCUUAUGUUCCUCCAACCCUGAGAGCUACAAACCAAUCUCCGGAAUAAAAAAAUCUGUCCCUCGUGCUGUCA